GCCAGCGUGGUUUAGUGAUUUGAGCACUGGAUAGGACUCUGGAGACAAGGGUUCAAAUCCCUGCUUUGUCA